CAUUGCGGCAGCUACCAUGCAAGUCGAACGUGAUCCGCCCUUCGGGGUGGUGAAAGUGGCGCACGGGUGAGUAACGCGUGGAUAAUCUGCCCGAGGAUUUGGGAUAACAUCUCGAAAGGGGUGCUAAUACCGAAUAAGCCCACGGGGUCUACGGAUCUUGCGGGAAAAGGGGGGGACCUUCGGGCCUCCUGUCCUUGGAUGAGUCUGCGUACCAUUAGCUAGUUGGUGGGGUAAUGGCCUACCAAGGCGACGAUGGUUAGCUGGUCUGAGAGGAUGAUCAGCCACACUGGAACUGAGACACGGUCCAGACUCCUACGGGAGGCAGCAGUGGGGAAUUUUGCGCAAUGGGGGAAACCCUGACGCAGUAACGCCGCGUGGGUGAUGAAGGCAUUCGGGUCGUAAAGCUCUGUCUGGAGGGAAGAAAUGAUUGGGAGCUAAUACCUCUUGAUCUUGACGGUACCUCUGAAGGAAGCACCGGCUAACUCCGUGCCAGCAGCCGCGGUAAUACGGAGGGUGCAAGCGUUGUUCGGAAUUAUUGGGCGUAAAGCGCGUGUAGGCGGUCUUUUAAGUCUGAUGUGAAAGCCCCGGGCUCAACCUGGGAAGUGCAUUGGAAACUGGGAGGCUUGAGUACGGGAGAGGAGAGUGGAAUUCCUAGUGUAGGAGUGAAAUCCGUAGAUAUUAGGAGGAACACCGGUGGCGAAGGCGGCUCUCUGGACCGAUACUGACGCUGAGACGCGAAAGCGUGGGUAGCAAACAGGAUUAGAUACCCUGGUAGUCCACGCCGUAAACGAUGAGUACUAGUGUUGCGGGUAUUGACCCC
rnacentral:rRNA from 1 species